rnacentral:rRNA from 1 species
CUCCGGUUGAUCCCUACGGACCCGACUGCUAUCAGAGUGGGACUAAGCCAUGCGAGUCAACGCAGCAAUGCGUGGCAUACGGCUCAGUAACACGUAGUCAACAUGCCCAGGGGACGUGGAUAACCUCGGGAAACUGAGGAUAAACCGCGAUAGGCCAAGAUUUCUGGAAUGGAUAAUGGCUGAAAUCUAUAUGGCCCCUGGAUUGGACUGCGGCCGAUCAGGCUGUUGGUGAGGUAAUGGCCCACCAAACCUGUAACCGGUACGGGCUCUGAGAGGAGGAGCCCGGAGAUGGGCACUGAGACAAGGGCCCAGGCCCUAUGGGGCGCAGCAGGCGCGAAACCUCUGCAAUAGGCGAAAGCUUGACAGGGUUACUCUGAGUGAUUUCCGUUAAGGAGAUCUUUUGGCACCUCUAAAAAUGGUGCAGAAUAAGGGGUGGGCAAGUCUGGUGUCAGCCGCCGCGGUAAUACCAGCACCCCGAGUGGUCGGGACGUUUAUUGGGCCUAAAGCAUCCGUAGCCGGUUCUACAAGUCUUCCGUUAAAUCCACCUGCUUAACAGAUGGGCUGCGGAAGAUACUAUAGAGCUAGGAGGCGGGAGAGGCAAGCGGUACUCGAUGGGUAGGGGUAAAAUCCGUUGAUCCAUUGAAGACCACCAGUGGCGAAGGCGGCUUGCCAGAACGCGCUCGACGGUGAGGGAUGAAAGCUGGGGGAGCAAACCGGAUUAGAUACCCGGGUAGUCCCAGCUGUAAACGAUGCAGACUCGGUGAUGAGUUGGCUUAUUGCUAACUCAGUGCCGCAGGGAAGCCGUUAAGUUUGCCGCCUGGGGAGUACGGUCGCAAGACUGAAACUUAAAGCAAAAAGGGGGGGAGCA